rnacentral:rRNA from 1 species
GAGUUUGAUCAUGGCUCAGAUUGAACGCUAGCGGGAUGCUUUACACAUGCAAGUCGAACGGUAGCACGAAGAAAGCUUGCUUUCUUUGGUGACGAGUGGCGAACGGGUGAGUAAUGUAUCGGAACGUACCCAGUAGCGGGGGAUAACUACGCGAAAGCGUGGCUAAUACCGCAUACGCCCUACGGGGGAAAGGGGGGGAUCGCAAGACCUCUCACUAUUGGAGCGGCCGAUAUCGGAUUAGCUAGUUGGUGGGGUAAAGGCCUACCAAGGCGACGAUCCGUAGCUGGUUUGAGAGGACGACCAGCCACACUGGGACUGAGGCACGGCCCAGACUCCUACGGGAGGCAGCAGUGGGGAAUUUUGGACAAUGGGGGCAACCCUGAUCCAGCCAUCCCGCGUGUGCGAUGAAGGCCUUCGGGUUGUAAAGCACUUUUGGCAGAGAAGAAACGACUCUGGAUAAUACCCGGGGUUAAUGACGGUAUCUGCAGAAUAAGCACCGGCUAACUACGUGCCAGCAGCCGCGGUAAUACGUAGGGUGCAAGCGUUAAUCGGAAUUACUGGGCGUAAAGCGUGCGCAGGCGGUUCGGAAAGAAAGAUGUGAAAUCCCAGAGCUUAACUUUGGAAUGGCAUUUUUAACUCCCGAGCUAAAUAUGUCAGGGGGGUAAAUUCACGGGUAACAAUGAAUGCUA